AGUGAACGCUGGCGGUAGGCCUAACACAUGCAAGUCGAACGGCAGCACAGUAAGAGCUUGCUCUUACGGGUGGCGAGUGGCGGACGGGUGAGGAAUACAUCGGAAUCUACUUUUUCGUGGGGGAUAACGUAGGGAAACUUACGCUAAUACCGCAUACGACCUACGGGUGAAAGCAAGGGAUCUUCGGACCUUGCGCGAUUGAAUGAGCCGAUGUCGGAUUAGCUAGUUGGCGGGGUAAAGGCCCACCAAGGCGACGAUCCGUAGCUGGUCUGAGAGGAUGAUCAGCCACACUGGAACUGAGCCACGGUCCAGACUCCUACGGGAGGCAGCAGUGGGGAAUAUUGGACAAUGGGCGCAAGCCUGAUCCAGCCAUACCGCGUGGGUGAAGAAGGCCUUCGGGUUGUAAAGCCCUUUUGUUGGGAAAGAAAAGCAGCAGGUUAAUACCCCGCUGUUCUGACGGUACCCAAAGAAUAAGCACCGGCUAACUUCGUG
rnacentral:rRNA from 1 species